GGUUCUGUAGCUCAACUGGUAGAGCAGUGGCCUGAAGAGCCGCGUGUAGUUGGUUCGACACCAACCGGAACCACCA
rnacentral:tRNA from 1 species